AGCAGCCGCGGUAAUACAGAGGUGGCAAGCGUUGUCCGGAUUUACUGGGCGUAAAGGGUGCGCAGGCGGUUCGGUAUGUCGGAUAUGAAAUCUCACGGCUCAACCGUGAAAGGUCAUUCGAAACUGCCGGACUAGAGUACUGGAGAGGAGAGCGGAAUUCUUGGAGUAGCGGUGAAAUGCGUAGAUAUCAAGAAGAACACCGGUGGCGAAGGCGGCUCUCUGGACAGUUACUGACGCUGAGGCACGAAAGCCAGGGUAGCGAAGAGGAUUAGAUACCCUCGUAGUCCUGGCCGUAAACGAUGUGCACUUGGUGUGGGGAGGAGUUAUCCCCUCUCCGUACCGGAGCUAACGCGUUAAGUGCACCGCCUGGGGAGUACGGCCGCAAGGCUAAAACUCAAAGGAAUUGACGGGGGCCCGCACAAGCGGUGGAGCAUGUGGCUUAAUUCGAUGCAACGCGAAGAACCUUACCUGGGUUUGACAUGCCCGUCGUAUUCUCCUGAAAGGGAGAAGUCAGCUCGGCUGGACGGUGCACAGGUGCUGCAUGGCUGUCGUCAGCUCGUGCCGUGAGGUGUUGGGUUAAGUCCCGCAACGAGCGCAACCCUUGUGUUUAGUUGCCACUCCUGAUUUUGUUGGGAAGCACUCUAGACAGACUGCCCGUGACAAGCGGGAGGAAGGAGGGGAUGACGUCAAGUCAGUAUGGUCCUUAUACCCAGGGCUGCACACGUGCUACAAUGGCCGGUACAGAGGGCGGCGACGCCGCGAGGCGGAGCAAAUCCCGAAAGCCGGUCUUAGUUCGGAUCGCAGUCUGCAAUUCGACUGCGUGAAGUCGGAAUCGCUAGUAAAUGCGUAUCAGCAAUGGCGCAUUGAAUACGUUCCCGGGCCUUGUACACACCGCCCGUCACAUCAUGAAAGCCGAAUGCACCCGAAGUCACUGGGCCAAUCCUUUUUGGAAGGCAGGUGCCGAAGGUGUG
rnacentral:rRNA from 1 species